rnacentral:misc_RNA from 1 species
AGUUAUAAGUUAUAUCUCUAAAUCCUUGGUCUGGCAUCUAGAAAAUUUCACUCCGCACCUUGGUCCGACUACGUGUGUUGCUAUACUAACCCUUAUCUUUACCUCAUAUUAAGCAUUGUAUUUGAUAUUUGACUAAGUUAUUACCUCGUACCAAUCGACACUAUCAUAUUAGAUAGUAUACACUAAAUCUAUGUUGAUAAUUCUUUUCCUAUUAUCUACCUCCUUGAUCCAGCAAGUAGCAUUAAG